CUUCUGUUACAACUGCUGCUUCUUCUGUUACAACUGCUGCUUCUUCUGUUACAAGCUCGAAGUCAUGGGAAGAAUUCAGAAAGUAUCGCUCCCAGCAUCCAGGCCCUCUAUCUAUGAGGGCCUUCCAUCGCUGGUGUUUGUAUGGGGACGACCAUCCCUCCUUUAGAUGGAGGGAUGGCACCCCAUACAACACAGGGAAUAGAGCGGAUGCU
rnacentral:misc_RNA from 1 species